GACGGAGGAUGCAAGCGUUAUCCGGAAUGAUUGGGCGUAAAGCGUCUGCAGGUGGCAGUUCAAGUCUGCUGUCAAAGACCGGGGCUUAACUUCGGAAAGGCAGUGGAAACUGAACAGCUAGAGUAUGGUAGGGGCAGAGGGAAUUCCUGGUGUAGCGGUGAAAUGCGUAGAUAUCUGGAGGAACACCGGUGGCGAAGGCGGCAUCCUGGACCGGCAUUGACGCUGAGGCGCGAAAGCUAGGGGAGCAAACGGG
rnacentral:rRNA from 1 species